AGAGUUUGAUUAUGGCUCAGGAUGAACGCUGGCGGCGUGCUUAACACAUGCAAGUCGAACGAAUAACCCACCUCCGGGUGGUUAUAGAGUGGCGAACGGGUGAGUAACACGUGACCAACCUACCUCUCACUCCGGGAUAACCCAGAGAAAUCUGCGCUAAUACCGGAUACUCCGGGCACCUCGCAUGGGGAGCCCGGGAAAGCCCCGACGGUGGGAGAUGGGGUCGCGGCCUAUUAGAUAGUUGGUGGGGUAACGGCCUACCAAGUCGACGAUAGGUAGCCGGGUUGAGAGACCGAUCGGCCACAUUGGGACUGAGAUACGGCCCAG
rnacentral:rRNA from 1 species